GAAUGCCCAGACUCUGUCAGGACACACCUGCAACCCAGGCUGCUCUCCUAGCACCUCUCCUGCCAUUCCUGACCCCCAACGAUGCUGCAUCCCUCCCUCCCUCAAUCUGAGAAAGAAGUUGGCUAGAUGCUUUGAGAAGAGACUACCCUCUACUAAACACUGGAAUCAAAGGCAAGCAGGAGGGGAAACAGGCUUUGAACAUAACAAAACAUGUGGCAGUCCCCCAAAAGCAGCCCUUUUAAGAUCACUGUAUGGAAGGCUGUGCCCAUGGAGUGUGACCCCGCGGAGGCCUGUACAUUAAUCAUGAUGUGGAGAGAGGGCCCCAGACAAGCCUGGGACAUUCCUGGGACAGCUUGCCGCUGGGCAGGUGAAGCAGCCAGUCACGCCGACACUGCUGGGAGGGCAAGGUCGGGGCCAAGAAGGGUUGCUAAGGGGCUGUUCCCCACUGUGAGUUCGCCAACUGAACUCCUGACAAGUAAAUAGGAUGAGUAAUUAGAUAUUAUAAUUUAAAGAUUAAUGGUGUCAAAGGAAUUGUCCCCUCAACGCCUGUGCGUGUAGGCUAGCUCCUCUGAAGUUGCCCAGCUGUAGUAGCGCAUUCAGUCAGUCCCAGUUUGCAUUGUAAAUAUGACUGUGUUGAUAAAUCCACAGACCAACCGUCCACUCCUCCAUGAGUGCUUGGAUGGUUUCCAACAUGUAAAACCUAGCAACAGGAUUUGUCUCAGGCCUCUGAGAAAGACCAAGUGGUGUGCUGGCACACAAACCAACGACAUAUGGAUCUUUGUUUUGCUUAGUGCAUUUUGUCAGCUGGUUAGCAGAGUGGAUUGCUAUUCUUACUGGUUGUGCAUUACAGCUAUGUUUUCAUGGUUUUGUAUUUUUGUAUGACAUUUUUUGUAG